AUACAGCCUGUCCAAGCUGCAAUCCAUCCUCUUCUCCAAGUCGAGCCUGCCAGCCAUCGUGGUCUGCAGAUAUAUUGCAGCUCGGAGAAGCAAUGAGAGAAAGCUAACUGAUAAGGCAUUUUUCUCCCUUGGCAAAAGACUAACAAUAGUUUCUAAAACAACCCUCUUUUCAUGUUCUAUUCUUGCCUCAAUCUGUUUCCUCCCUUUUCCUGAUAUAUCCAAACCUCCAAGGGAUUUCUGCGCAUAGAGCAUUAAUAUUGGUCCAAGUGCAUACUGUUUGAAUCCCCUUGCCAUCAUAGCAAUCAAAACCCUUUGAAAAAACUCAAUUCUUAGGACAGUUAAAUCAUCAGCCCACCAAUCAAAUGUGGAGGAAUUCAAGCCAUAUUGACUGUCCUUGC
rnacentral:misc_RNA from 1 species